AGAGACUAAGAGGUCUAGUGUAGCUAAUUCCGACGUGUAUCGCCUGAUGUGUUCUUGUCCUCACUCAGCCGGUGGUUGAAGCCCAAGAUGAGCCGUGGGAGGGGCUCAGGACAUGACACGAUGUGAGGGGUGGACUGCUGUGUGCCAACAGUGGUGAUGAUUGACAACGUCGAACAGCGUUCUGGGCACCUUCCUCCUUCACAGUUCCAAAAGCACAUUUAUUUGCUGUGCCCCUCGCCCCCUGCCCUGCACUGCCUGGUGUGGGGUGCUGCCCACAGUGGGUGCUCAAUCAAUGCUGCAGGCUGAUUGGUGACUGGCAUCGGCAGUUUUGACUCCACGCCGGGAGUCGAGUCUCCAGCCCUGGACUAACUACCCAGCACCCUUUUAUGGGAGCUGAUUUGGGGGAGACUAGCCUUGAGGUGAGACAGCAGCAGAGCUUCUCGAAUGGAAAGGUCUUCGAAGAGAAGGGCUGGGGUCCUGCCAGGAGCCACCUUGUCUCUGCUACGGGCUUUCUCAGUCCGGCCAACGGAGAGGCUCCAGACAGCUUCCGCAGCCCAGGAGCUUUGACUUCGCACUCAAGUCCAUGUCUUGAGCCUAAAUGUAAGUUCCAUUUCUUCUUGCUUGGUCCUCAGUGGAUUUGGAGAACCCGCCUUUCACUGGAGCCCCGAUUACCAGAAUACACAACCCAGCAAACCUGUAGAGAGUCUUUCCUGAGAGUACUGGGAGGAAGGACAAGAUACCCUUGCCUCUUAGGGUUCGGUGAGGAGCAGGCUGGCCUCCAGGUGGGACCUAGCGUGGGCAGACUUCUACAUACCCCUAGGGUUUUCUGGUUUUCAGUAACAGAGAGCUAUUGCUAGCAGUGAGUCUCAGAGGACAAGCUCAAAUCCUGUCCUGGUGAAUGAGGAGGACAAGGAAGUGGCAGCAGCGAGUAGUGGAGACCUUACUGCA